CUCCCCUCAGGGAGCAGCAGGGACGCAAUUUGGGUCCAGCACGGAAACUUGAGUGCGGACUUGGAGCCGAGCCAAGCGCAGAGCCAAGAAGCACCGCCAAGAGGUGCACAGGUGAGCAGAGGGAGAGGUGAGAGGAACCCAGCAGAGGCGUCUGUGGCUGCCUCUCCGUGUGGCCUGGGUCUGCAUGUGUGAAGCAAUGAGAAUGAUUCAAGCCCCAAACCACCAGGAAGUGGGAGUAGACCCGGCACCCCAGGACUCUCUGAGUCCCUGGUGACCCCUCAUCCUGAGCCGGGCUCUGUGGCCCCCUCCUCCUGGCAUUCCUGCCUCUUCUCCACACAGGCCCGUGGCUGGGUCUGAGCAUCUGCCCUGCUGACUUUUCACUGUUGUGCUCGGUUUCCAGUGGAAGUGCCUCUAAGGUGGCCCUGGCGACCAGUACCACUGGGGUCAGAAUUCCGAGGGUGAGGCAGAGCCUGCAUUGCUGAGUCCAUCCAUCCAUCCAUCCAUUCACUCCCUCACUCAUUCACUCGCUCACUCAUAAUGAAUGAACUCCUGCCAUGCUGAGAAGCUGGGCCAGAUGAGUGGACACAGACGUGAACUGUCCUUGGAAGCUCAGCGGCUGGGGAAGAAGGAAGAAGGGAGGCAGCAGCAGUUGCUGCUCAGGUGAUCCCGAGGGAGGCCUGCUCCUAAACCUGGGAGGCAGGGAUGGCUUCCUGGAAGCAGUGGUGAGGGUAAGCCUAGGUUGAGACCAGGAGGAUGAAUAAAGUGGCCUCAGAAAAUCACGCUGAGGGUGGGAGAGAGGAACGGUCCCACAGACAGCCUUUGUGAGCCUUGACGGCAGUGGAGCACAGCACA
rnacentral:lncRNA from 1 species